GACGAACGCUGGCGGCGUGCCUAAUACAUGCAAGUCGAACGCUUCUUUCCUCCCGAGUGCUUGCACUCAAUUGGAAAGAGGAGUGGCGGACGGGUGAGUAACACGUGGGUAACCUACCCAUCAGAGGGGGAUAACACUUGGAAACAGGUGCUAAUACCGCAUAACAGUUUAUGCCGCAUGGCAUAAGAGUGAAAGGCGCUUUCGGGUGUCGCUGAUGGAUGGACCCGCGGUGCAUUAGCUAGUUGGUGAGGUAACGGCUCACCAAGGCCACGAUGCAUAGCCGACCUGAGAGGGUGAUCGGCCACACUGGGACUGAGACACGGCCCAGACUCCUACGGGAGGCAGCAGUAGGGAAUCUUCGGCAAUGGACGAAAGUCUGACCGAGCAACGCCGCGUGAGUGAAGUAGGUUUUCGGAUCGUAAAACUCUGUUGUUAGAGAAGAACAAGGACGUUAGUGACUGAACGUCCCCUGACGGUAUCUAACCAGAAAGCCACGGCUAACUACGUG
rnacentral:rRNA from 1 species